GUGACAUACCACUUGUUGCCUCGGCGGAUCAGCCCGCUCCCGGUAAAACGGGACGGCCCGCCAGAGGACCCCUAAACUCUGUUUCUAUAUGUAACUUCUGAGUAAAACCAUAAAUAAAUCAAAACUUUCAACAACGGAUCUCUUGGUUCUGGCAUCGAUGAAGAACGCAGCAAAAUGCGAUAAGUAAUGUGAAUUGCAGAAUUCAGUGAAUCAUCGAAUCUUUGAACGCACAUUGCGCCUGCCAGUAUUCUGGCGGGCAUGCCUGUUCGAGCGUCAUUUCAACCCUCAAGCACAGCUUGGUGUUGGGACUCGCGUUAAUUCGCGUUCCCCAAAUUGAUUGGCGGUCACGUCGAGCUUCCAUAGCGUAGUAGUAAAACCCUCGUUACUGGUAAUCGUCGCGGCCACGCCGUUAAACCCCAACUUCUGAAUGUUGACCUCGGAUCAGGUAGGAAUACCCGCUGAACUUAA
rnacentral:rRNA from 1 species